rnacentral:lncRNA from 1 species
UUUUUUUUUUUUUGCCUUUUAUGAAGUUCUUUGAAUAGAUUUACUUCACUGUUCACCCAAGAGAAUCCCUCUUCACAAUAUUAUUGAAUUUGGCAAUCCAAUUGAGGCUGAGAGGCAUUCCAAAUGGAUUUGCUAAAUCAGCUUUUAUUCUGAGGCAUACAAGCAACACUGCAUUCUAGAAAAAGAGGCAUUCCAGUUAAAAAGAGAAGCUGCCCUUUGGUUUGCCCUCUACCUCCUAUUAUCAACUUUCUUCUAUUUUCAAAUCUAUUCUUCAAGGAGGACAAGCUCCAAUGGAGGAUUGGGAGAUGGAAUCUCCUCUGAGCCAGGCAAUGUUCUUUUCUAUUCGCAACCACUCCACUGCCAAACUGCAGUGGGCUUGUUAAUUUAUUCUACGUGAAUGCCAACAUGACAGCCAAGGAAGCAGCCUCACGUACACCCAACAGUUCACCAUUGGAAUCACAUCACGAUGUAUGUUAGGACACUUGCAAUAUCUCUCGUGCUCUUUUUCCUAGGAUUGCAAUCUGUAAAGCCACCAUACGCCAGAACCACCAGUGUCCAUAUUUGUCACUUUGUGGAAAGGACUUGCCUAAAAUGGAAAGCAGUACAAAGUAGAGCCAAGAAAAGGAGAGAACCCUGCCAACGUCAUGUGAGCUCUUGGAAUCAACCAUGCCUGAAGACAGAAUUAUCCCAUGGACUUUCUAGUGAUACAAGCUAAUAAAUCCCUAUGCUUUUUCAAUGUAAGCAAGGUUAGUUGGAAUAUUUUGUCACUUGCGAAUGCAUGAGCUCUAAAUAAUGAAUAGCGUGUAGUUAAGAGGAAAGAAGGCUGCCUUUGGUGUAUUUCCCAAUAGGAAACAGAUGGCACUCUCAAAUUGGAAAAUUUUAGAGGAUUUUUUUUUUUAAAUUAAGGUCCUAUUUCCAAAGUUGUAGGUAGGGUGGAUCAGAACCACAGGGGUUGUGUGGUAACUCAGAGCUGGUUAGAGCAGUGCUAUAAUUACCCACAAGCCUAAAAGGACAAGAGAAAGGACCAGUUAUCAGAACACAAAAUGGGAGUCAUGCAGGAAAAAAAGCUACCUUGAAAUAAACAGUGAUGUUUAGUCAAGGGACACAGGUGGCUUAAGGUGAAUUCACAAGAAAAGAUCCAUGGAAAUAAACUCUUGCCCUAGUUCUGAUCUCCUGCCUAGGAUACCCUACUUGCCAUACUCAACUGAAAGUCAGAGAAACCUGGGAUGUAGUGCACAUAAACCAUCCUCCCAGGGCAGAGAUAAAAAUUUAGAAGGGUGAAAAUUGACCUGCAAUUUCAAAUGAAAGAUAUUCAAUGAAACCUACAUGCUUUGUCCCUCACCAUUCAUUCUUUUCCUUCAUCCAGUUGAAAAAUUCAUGUUCUCAUCUUGGGACACAUAUGAAAUCUCAUUAGCUGUUGUAUUAUCAUGGGAUGAUAAUGACUCCAUCAUACGGCCACCUGUCUUUCAAGGUCACCCCUGAGUGUGAUUGUUGUGUGGUUUCUGUCCUUCUUCAUCUGGUGCCAGCAGAGCAAGGCGAUCUACCUAUAAAUCAGGCCCAUGGUUUGCCUCCACAAUUAAGUAGGCAUUUUGAACUCUCCAUGCAGUCACAGUUGUGGAUGAGGAAAAGAUGACAAAGCAAUAGAAGCAGAUACGAUAUGAAUUCAGCCACCAGCCCCUAAAGCUGAUGAAUAUGUUCAAGACCAGAUAUGUACAUACUAUUUCAAUUUUAUCAUUUAUGUUCAACUUUAAAUUCUGUAGGUCAAGUAUACCUAUACAUAUAGUGGGAAGUUCAGAUUGCAUAGUCAUUUUAUUUCCCAUGAUCAAGUGCUAUCUAUCAAAACCUGCUAGCAAGCCAGGAGUUGUUUUUCAAAUGGAAAAUAGUUGUCAGUAAAGAAGGACAUGGCCUCAUUCCAGAUCCCUGUGUUGUGAUUUUCCUACUGAAUUUGCCAGAGGCUCAAAGAGCAUCUUGUCUGCCACAAAUGCUUCCUUUAUUUAUAGUGUCCCAUAUUAUUAGGCUCAGAUAGCAGAGCAAAUUGCAUUGUAACCUAGAACUACUACAGAGUCCAUUAUUACUACCGGUCCCACUCAAAAAUUGUAACCUUCUGAAUUGCCAAUAAAUAGAAUGAGAGGAUUACCCCCAAAUACAUGCAUUGCCAGCAAAAUCCUGAACAGCUUUAGAUGGAUCCCAUUGUUUUAAUAUUUUAUUUAUUUAUUCACAAAAGACACACACAGAGAGAGAGAGAGAGAGGCAGAGACACAGGCAGAGGGAGAAACAGGCUCCAUGCAGGAAGCCUGACGAAGGACGUGAUCCCGG